GUUUUAAUAAUUUAAAUAAAAUAUAGGUCUUGUAUACCUAAAAUAAGAAAAUUCUUUUAAAACU
rnacentral:tRNA from 1 species